rnacentral:lncRNA from 1 species
CAAUUCAGUUCUAACAUUGAUAAGCCAGAUGGGGGAAAGGUAUGGGGGAAUUAUCCAAGAAUUGAGGGAAAGUUUGCCCUGAUGUUUAUACUUCCAUAUCUACCCAACUGUUUGAAAGAUGAGCAAAUCAAUUUCUUGGCAUAACAGGUGCCAAUUUACAGGACCCAUAAGGAGUGCAUGGAUGGUGGCCAAAGAGAGUGUUUGCCCAAGAUAAAGUUGCUCAGCUUUUCAAAAGUAAAUGCAAGAUGAAAAUUUUCACUUUGAGAAUUUUCUUCCAAGAUGGAGCGUCUACUUUGUGAUACUUUCUCCAUAUCCUCGUGUAUUUUCUCAAGCCACCAUUAAAACUCGCCAGUUUAAAACACACUGUACUGAGACUUCUUCUGUCCUGCUCAGAGACACCUAAGGCCUGGGGACUGCUCGCAAGGCGAACCCCAUCUAAGCAGGAACCAGCCCACCCAGAGACUGCCUAGGCUCCUGUAUCAGUCUCGACCUCACCCACUGGAUUAUGUAAGCUUGGGCCUGUUGCCAGCAUCCUUCCUCUGCCAUGCUAGGAGACACCUGAGGCCUGGGGACUGCUCACAGGGCAAAUCCCAUCAAGGCAGGAUCCAGCCCACCAAGAGACUGCCAAGGCCCUGGUACCAGUCCUGACUCCAUCCACGGACAGAGGAGAGACAUUAAAUUAUUGGACCUGUUUGCACCCACCAGAAGGGAACCUUAGUCCAAUACCCACCAGGAGAAGAGACUCCUCUAACCCACCAAAGAAGGAAUGGAAAGAAGACAAUAUAAAAACACAUUUAACAACAGAAAAAAAAAAAAAACCAUUAUGACACUACUCGAGUCUAAAGAAUCUACAACUGCAUGACCUGAACAUCACAACACCAAUGAACCAGAAGAGAAUGACCUUAAAAAGCUCUUCAUGAAAAUGAUAGAGCCCUCAAAGAGAAUAUGAGAAAAUACCUUAAAGAAAUGGAAGAAAAAAAAACAAAAAUACAAGAAAUCAAAAAAAAAAUCUCUUAAGGAAAGCCAAGAAAAUACAAUCAAACAGCUGAAGGAAAAAAUCAGACAGUUCAAGACCUGAAAUUUAAAAUAGGGACAAUAC